rnacentral:rRNA from 1 species
AUACGUAGGUGGCAAGCGUUGUCCGGAAUUACUGGGUGUAAAGGGAGCGUAGGCGGGAAGACAAGUCAAGUGUCAAAUCUAUCGGCUCAACCGGUAGCCGCGCUUGAAACUGUUUUUCUUGAGUGGAGUAGAGGCAGGCGGAAUUCCUAGUGUAGCGGUGAAAUGCGUAGAUAUUAGGAGGAACACCAGUGGCGAAGGCGGCCUGCUGGGCUUUUACUGACGCUGAGGCUCGAAAGUGUGGGGAGCAAACAGGAUUAGAUACCCUGGUAGUCCACACUGUAAACGAUGAUUACUAGGUGUGGGGGGUCUGACCCCUUCCGUGCCGGAGUUAACACAAUAAGUAAUCCACCUGGGGAGUACGGCCGCAAGGUUGAAACUCAAAGGAAUUGACGGGG